CUUCUCUCUCUAGACAAAGAAGGUUGAGGACUUGAGGUUGGCAGCUUGGAGUAGUUGCUGACUGAAGGAGUAAAGCUGAUCCAAGCAAGAAAUAUGAGCUGAUUGGAGCUGCGAAAUCACCUGGAACAGCAUCUAAUCAAGUUUUGUGCAGUUGACAGCCUAGAGGUUCUCGAGCUGAUUGGAGUUGAGUGCUUCUUGCUGUGAGCAGCAAGGAAGGUUUUAAGGCUGGAAUUAAUUAGAAGAAGAUCUCUAUUAAGGAAUUGAAGGCUUGGUGAAGUUCGUGAAGUUGAAGCCUUGCUUAUCCGAGCAGGGAAAUCAGCUGAGGCAA